GACGAACGCUGGCGGCGUGCUUAACACAUGCAAGUCGAACGGAAAGGCCCUGCUUUUGUGGGGUGCUCGAGUGGCGAACGGGUGAGUAACACGUGAGUAACCUGCCCUUGACUUUGGGAUAACUUCGGGAAACUGGGGCUAAUACCGGAUAGGAGCUCCUGCUGCAUGGUGGGGGUUGGAAAGUUUCGGCGGUUGGGGAUGGACUCGCGGCUUAUCAGCUUGUUGGUGGGGUAGUGGCUUACCAAGGCUUUGACGGGUAGCCGGCCUGAGAGGGUGACCGGCCACAUUGGGACUGAGAUACGGCCCAGACUCCUACGGGAGGCAGCAGUGGGGAAUAUUGCACAAUGGGCGGAAGCCUGAUGCAGCAACGCCGCGUGCGGGAUGACGGCCUUCGGGUUGUAAACCGCUUUCGCCUGUGACGAAGCGUGAGUGACGGUAAUGGGUAAGAAGCACCGGCUAACUACGUG
rnacentral:rRNA from 1 species